rnacentral:rRNA from 1 species
UACGGAGGGUGCAAGCGUUAUCCGGAUUCACUGGGUUUAAAGGGUGCGUAGGCGGGCAGGUAAGUCAGUGGUGAAAUCUUCGAGCUUAACUCGGAAACUGCCGUUGAUACUAUCUGUCUUGAAUUUAGUGGAGGUAAGCGGAAUAUGUCAUGUAGCGGUGAAAUGCUUAGAUAUGACAUAGAACACCAAUUGCGAAGGCAGCUUGCUACACUAUUAUUGACGCUGAGGCACGAGAGCGUGGGGAUCAAACAGGAUUAGAUACCCUGGUAGUCAAGGGCG